GCGCGGAAGAUGUAACGGGGCUAAACCAUGCACCGAAGCUGCGGCAGCGACACUGUGUGUUGUUGGGUAGGGGAGCGUUCUGUAAGCCUGUGAAGGUGUGUCGUGAGGCAUGCUGGAGGUAUCAGAAGUGCGAAUGCUGACAUAAGUAACGAUAAAGCGGGUGAAAAGCCCGCUCGCCGGAAGACCAAGGGUUCCUGUCCAACGUUAAUCGGGGCAGGGUGAGUCGACCCCUAAGGCGAGGCCGAAAGGCGUAGUCGAUGGGAAACGGGUUAAUAUUCCCGUACUUGGUGUUACUGCGAAGGGGGGACGGAGAAGGCUAUGUUGGCCGGGCGACGGUUGUCCCGGUUUAAGCGUGUAGGUGUGUGUUCCAGGUAAAUCCGGUUCACUUUAACACUGAGGCGUGACGACGAGGCACUACGGUGCUGAAGCAACAAAUGCCCUGCUUCCAGGAAAAGCCUCUAAGCAUCAGGUAACAUCAAAUCGUACCCCAAACCGACACAGGUGGUCAGGUAGAGAAUACCAAGGCGCUUGAGAGAACUCGGGUGAAGGAACUAGGCAAAAUGGUGCCGUAACUUCGGGAGAAGGCACGCUGACACGUAGGUGAAGUGAUUUACUCAUGGAGCUGAAGUCAGUCGAAGAUACCAGCUGGCUGCAACUGUUUAUUAAAAACACAGCACUGUGCAAACACGAAAGUGGACGUAUACGGUGUGACGCCUGCCCGGUGCCGGAAGGUUAAUUGAUGGGGUCAGCGCAAGCGAAGCUCCUGAUCGAAGCCCCGGUAAACGGCGGCCGUAACUAUAACGGUCCUAAGGUAGCGAAAUUCCUUGUCGGGUAAGUUCCGACCUGCACGAAUGGCGUAAUGAUGGCCAGGCUGUCUCCACCCGAGACUCAGUGAAAUUGAACUCGCUGUGAAGAUGCAGUGUACCCGCGGCAAGACGGAAAGACCCCGUGAACCUUUACUAUAGCUUGACACUGAACAUUGAGCCUUGAUGUGUAGGAUAGGUGGGAGGCUUUGAAGUGUGGACGCCAGUCUGCAUGGAGCCGACCUUGAAAUACCACCCUUUAAUGUUUGAUGUUCUAACGUGGACCCGUUACCCGGGUUGCGGACAGUGUCUGGUGGGUAGUUUGACUGGGGCGGUCUCCUCCUAAAGAGUAACGGAGGAGCACGAAGGUUGGCUAAUCCUGGUCGGACAUCAGGAGGUUAGUGCAAUGGCAUAAGCCAGCUUGACUGCGAGCGUGACGGCGCGAGCAGGUGCGAAAGCAGGUCAUAGUGAUCCGGUGGUUCUGAAUGGAAGGGCCAUCGCUCAACGGAUAAAAGGUACUCCGGGGAUAACAGGCUGAUACCGCCCAAGAGUUCAUAUCGACGGCGGUGUUUGGCACCUCGAUGUCGGCUCAUCACAUCCUGGGGCUGAAGUAGGUCCCAAGGGUAUGGCUGUUCGCCAUUUAAAGUGGUACGCGAGCUGGGUUUAGAACGUCGUGAGACAGUUCGGUCCCUAUCUGCCGUGGGCGCUGGAGAACUGAGGGGGGCUGCUCCUAGUACGAGAGGACCGGAGUGGACGCAUCACUGGUGUUCGGGUUGUCAUGCCAAUGGCACUGCCCGGUAGCUAAAUGCGGAAGAGAUAAGUGCUGAAAGCAUCUAAGCACGAAACUUGCCCCGAG
rnacentral:rRNA from 1 species